UAGGGAAUCUUCCACAAUGGACACAAGUCUGAUGGAGCAACACCGCGUGAGUGAAGAAGGGUUUCGGCUCGUAAAGCUCUGUUGUUAAAGAAGAACACGUAUGAGAGUAACUGUUCAUACGUUGACGGUAUUUAACCAGAAAGUCACGGCUAACUACGUGCCAG
rnacentral:rRNA from 1 species